GAAUAUUGGACAAUGGGCGCAAGCCUGAUCCAGCCAUGCCGCGUGUGUGAAGAAGGCCUUAGGGUUGUAAAGCACUUUCAGUGGGGAGAAAGGUCAUUCACCUAAUACGUGAGUGAAUUGAUGUUACCCACAGAAGAAGCACCGGCUAACUCCGUGCCAGCCGCCGCGGUAAUACGGAGGGUGCAAGCGUUAAUCGGAAUUACUGGGCGUAAAGCGCACGUAGGUGGUUUGUUAAGCUAGCUGUGAAAUCCCCGGGCUCAACCUGGGAAUUGCAGUUGGAACUGGCGAGCUAGAGUAUGGUUGAGGGGUGUGGGAUUUCAGGUGUAGCGGUGAAAUGCGUAGAUAUCUGAAGGAACACCAGUGGCGAAGGCGACACCCUGGGCCAAUACUGACGCUGAGGUGCGAAAGCGUGGGGAGCAAACAGG
rnacentral:rRNA from 1 species